rnacentral:rRNA from 1 species
GAUCCUGGCUCAGGAUGAACGCUGGCGGCGCGCCUAACACAUGCAAGUCGAACGGCACCCCUCUCCGGAGGGAAGCGAGUGGCGAACGGCUGAGUAACACGUGGAGAACCUGCCCCCUCCCCCGGGAUAGCCGCCCGAAAGGACGGGUAAUACCGGAUACCCCCGGGCGCCGCACGGCGCCCGGGCUAAAGCCCCGACGGGAGGGGAUGGCUCCGCGGCCCAUCAGGUAGACGGCGGGGUGACGGCCCACCGUGCCGACAACGGGUAGCCGGGUUGAGAG